rnacentral:rRNA from 1 species
UGGUGCCAGCAGCCGCGGUAACUCCAGCUCCAAUAGCAUAUAUUAAAAUUGCUGCAGUUAAAAAGCUCGUAGUUGGAUCUGGGUUCUGGUUUGGAGACUGCUUGUUCUUAGUGGAUUGUUUUCAUGAAGCUUUGGGCAGCGGUACUUCUAGGCCGAAUCUUCCAGCUGUGUCUGCAUGAGGCUUCGGCUUUGUGUAGAUAGAUUCGUUGUGUUGAAGUUCCCUCACGGGUCUUCACUUUCGUUUCUAUACGCUGUAAUGCCUUUAAUCGGGUGUUCAGUGUGGACAGCACGUUUACUUUGAACAAAUUUGAGUGCUCAAAGCA